rfam:Toxocara canis scaffold801, whole genome shotgun sequence.
UGGGCAGUAGCUCAGCGGUAGAGCUCCUGAUUCGUAUGCGGGAAGACCUGCAUUCAGUUCUCAGCUGCUUAC